UACAGAGGGUGCGAGCGUUAAUCGGAAUUACUGGGCGUAAAGCGUGCGUAGACGGUUAUUUAAGUCCGCUGUAAAAGUCCAGGGCUCAACCCUGGAAAGCCGGUGGAUACUGUCGGGCUAGAGUCCGGAAGAGGCGAGUGGAAUUCCUGGUGUAGCGGUGGAAUGCGCAGAUAUCAGGAGGAACACCGAUGGCGAAGGCAGCUCGCUGGGACGGUACUGACGCUGAGGCGCGAAAGCGUGGGGAGCGAACAGG
rnacentral:rRNA from 1 species